UCAAUGGAUGAUUUAUCAUUUGCUAUGCAGACUGACACUACAUUAGGGAGUCGAUUGUGUAUCCAUGCAAUGUAGUGAAAAUUACAAAAGUGAGCAAAUUUACUAGUUGUUGACCAAUAAGAUCAUAGAUAUUUUAGUAAAUUCGUUCACUUUUGUAAUUUUCACUAUAUUGCAUGAUACACAAUAGACCUCCAGAAUUUGAGAAUUAUUGAGAUUCAAACGUAUUCGAUGCAAAAUUUAUUGCAGCUGAUGAAAUGAAAAAACUUGAAGAAAGGUGAUAAAGAUGAGAGAGAAGAUAGUCGUACAUUAGAAAGCAAAAUUAUAAAUAAUGACUAUAAAAGAGCUGUUGAAUUCUGGAAAAGUGAAAAAAGGGACAUUGCACUUUAUCAACAACACAUCAUCGUUUUAAAAAGGAAUGAACUUGGAAUGAAUGAAGAUACAUAAUUUAACAAGAGAAUAGUUGUUAAGAAUAAUUGAAUGAUUAUGUAUCGAUUGCUAGGAUGACAUUCGAUUGUAGUAACGAUAUCGAUGUAUCGAUGUAUCGAUUACUACACUUAUCAUGUUGGAUUAUUUUUGGAGCAAUGAAUUCACCGGGCGAUGCAUUGUAGGAUACAGGAAUUUCCCCAGAAUUUAUACCGAUGAAACAACAGCACAAGAAGAAAAAAGCUGGCAAAAAACGUGUUUUUAUUGCUAUGGAAGGAAGGCGUUUCUAUUACAUAUGAAAAUUAUAGAAUUUUUGUAUAACGUAAAAGAAAUAUAAGACUUAAUAAAUUACUAAAAAAUAUAUAUUUGAGAGUUUUUCCAAGAAUACUUUAUUCAUCGCAGCGAAACACGCGAAUAGGGAAAAGAAGAAGCUUUUUGCUACCAAAUGGCGGAUUUCCUCAGAAAAAGACAAUAUGGCGGUUACAGCCGUUAUUCACUUGUAUCUCGAGAACAAAGGCAAAAUGUUACUUGUUGGGAUCAGAGAUGCCAGUUUUGAGACGUUUGCAACAGAACGUGGAGAGGACGUAUAAAGUAUAAAGCACACACGUACCCAGUAUAAAGAGCGGUAUUCCCUCCAUGCUACCGUGCUACCAAAAGUCUGGCAUCAUCGAUGCUAGGCAUUGAAGACGGAAAGAGAACAGAGACGAGGAUUUCGAAAAAGAGAAAAGAAAAGAAGACGAGAUGGAACUGACCUAUCGAAAAUAUGGCAUAGUAUUAUUAUAUCUAUGUAUUAUAGUCAAAACCGUCGAAAAGGCGGUCCUAGAACAGUAAUGGAAAUUCGAACCCGCGCACGCUACCGUUUUUCCCCCUUUCCUUACACACACAUAGACGCUUUAUGAACCGUUCUAUGACUUUCAAACGAUCUAUGGACGUCUUGGACGUCGGCGCCCUGCUGAAUUGCACUAAACCGAGCGUGAUCGUUAUAGAAAUAAAAAAUAUGUAUAACAUUUGUUUUUGAAUUACGUAAUCUGUGAGAGCGCAGCGAGGCAAAGACAGUAGGUAUCUUUCUGAUAAUAUUAAAAAAAUAUUGAAGAAUGUUAUCUUUCGUAAUCCCCACUAAAAUCAAAGAUAAUGCACCAUAAAUUACAAAAACUCUAUCUUUUGCUAUGUAACUAAAACGCAUAAUAAAAUGGAUGCUUUUCAGCUGCGUUUUCACAGGCGACAUUAUAAUGUGUGUAUAAUAACAACGUCUGUUAAUUUCGA